rnacentral:misc_RNA from 1 species
UGUCCCUCGAGGGUGCUUGUCAUGGGAAUCAAGGUAUAGAGUUGCCCUUGAUGUGGCCAAGGCACUUUCUUACCUUCAUCACGAUUGCCGGUCAAGAGUCUUGCACCUUGAUCUCAAGCCAGAGAAUAUACUUCUUGAUGAAAAUUAUCGAGCAAUUGUUGCAGAUUUUGGUUUUUCGAAGUUAAUGGGAAAAGAUCAGAGUAGAGUCAUCACAAAUAUCCGCGGGACAAGAGGUUACUUAGCCCCAGAAUGGCUCUUGGAGCAUGGUGUUUCUGAGAAGUCUGAUGUCUAUAGUUUUGGAAUGGUGCUUCUGGAGAUGAUUGGAGGCCAGAGAAAUGUUUGCUUGUUAGAAAAGGGCAAUGACAGGGCUCAGAGGACAUGGCAGUACUUUCCCAAAAUUGUCAAUCAGAA